UGGCGAGUGGCGGGGGGUCCUACCAUGCAGUCGAACGGAAGGCCCCCACCUUGGUGGGGGUGCUCGAGUGGCGAACGGGUGAGUAACACGUGGGUGAUCUGCCCUGUACUUCGGGAUAAGCUUGGGAAACUGGGUCUAAUACCGGAUAGGACCAUGGUUUAGUGUCUCAUGGUGGAAAAAUAUUGUUUUGGUGCAGGAUGAGCUCGCGGCCUAUCAGCUUGUUGGUGGGGUAAUGGCCUACCAAGGCGUCGACGGGUAGCCGGCCUGAGAGGGUGGACGGCCACAUUGGGACUGAGAUACGGCCCAGACUCCUACGGGAGGCAGCAGUGGGGAAUAUUGCACAAUGGGCGCAAGCCUGAUGCAGCGACGCCGCGUGGGGGAUGACGGCCUUCGGGUUGUAAACUCCUUUCGUUAGGGACGAAGCCGCACCUGUUUUGGGUGUGGUGACGGUACCUUUGUUAAGAAGCACCGGCUAACUACGUGCCAGCAGCCGCGGUAAUACGUAGGGUGCGAGCGUUGUCCGGAAUUACUGGGCGUAAAGAGCUCGUAGGUGGUUUGUUGCGUCGUCUGUGAAAUUCCGGGGCUUAACUUCGGGGUGGCAGGCGAUACGGGCAUAACUAGAGUGCUGUAGGGGAGACUGGAAUUCCUGGUGUAGCGGUGGAAUGCGCAGAUAUCAGGAGGAACACCGAUGGCGAAGGCAGGUCUCUGGGCAGUAACUGACGCUGAGGAGCGAAAGCAUGGGGAGCGAACAGGAUUAGAUACCCUGGUAGUCCACGCCGUAAACGUUGGG
rnacentral:rRNA from 1 species